rnacentral:rRNA from 1 species
GUACCAUAACCGACACAGGUGGGUAAGUAGAGUAUACUAAGGGGCGCGAGAUAACUCUCUCUAAGGAACUCGGCAAAAUAACUCCGUAACUUCGGGAGAAGGAGUGCCUUAUUCUUAAGGUUGCAAUAACAAGAUCCAAGCAACUGUUUAUCAAAAACACAGGUCUCCGCUAAGUCGUAAGACGAUGUAUGGGGGCUGACGCCUGCCCAGUGCCAGAAGGUUAAAGAAGUCGGUUAGCAAUAGCAAAGCUGGUAACUGAAGCCCUGGUGAACGGCGGCCGUAACUAUAACGGUCCUAAGGUAGCGAAAUUCCUUGUCGGGUAAGUUCCGACCCGCACGAAAGGCGUAAUGAUUUGGAUGCUGUCUCGGAGAGGGGCUCGGUGAAAUAGACUUGUCUGUGAAGAUGCGGACUACCUGCACCAGGACAGAAAGACCCUAUGAAGCUUUACUGUAACUUGAAAUUGAAAUUGGACUUUAUUCGCGCAGUAUAGGUGGGAGGCGUUGAUUAUAAUCUUGUGGGAUUAUUGGAGCCAUCAGUGAGAUACCACUCUUGUAAUGUUAGAUUUCUAACUUUGAAUCAUUAUCUGGUCAAAGGACAGUUUCAGGCGGGCAGUUUGACUGGGGCGGUCGCCUCCUAAACGGUAACGGAGGCGUACAAAGGUUUCCUCUGAACGGCUAGAAAUCGUAUCUAGAGUGUAAAGGCAUGAGGAAGCUUGACUGUGAGACCUACAAGUCGAGCAGGGACGAAAGUCGGUCUUAGUGAUCUGACGGUACUGAGUGGAAAGGCCGUCACUCAACGGAUAAAAGUUACUCUAAGGAUAACAGGCUGAUCUCCCCCAAGAGUUCACAUCGACGGGGAGGUUUGGCACCUCGAUGUCGGCUCAUCGCAUCCUGGGGCGGUAGUACGUCCCAAGGGUUGGGCUGUUCGCCCAUGAAAGCGGUACGCGAGCUGGGUUCAGAACGUCGUGAGACAGUUCGGUCCAUAUCCGGUGUAGGCGCUAGAAUAUUGAGAGGAGCCUUCUUUAGUACGAGAGGACCGAGAAGGACAUACCUCUGGUGUACCAGUUAUCGUGCCAACGGUAAACGCUGGGUAGCUAUGUAUGGAGUGGAUAACCGCUGAAAGCAUCUAAGUGGGAAGCCCACCUCAAGAUAAGUAUUCUCAUCACGUAAGUGAGUAAGGUCACGGUAAGACUAACCGUUUGAUAGGCAUUAAGUGUAAGUACAGUAAUGUAUGUGCUGAGAUGUCCUAAUAGACCGAGGACUUGA